rnacentral:rRNA from 1 species
GAUGAACGCUGGCGGCGUGCUUAACACAUGCAAGUCGAGCGAUGAAGUUUCCUUCGGGAAACGGAUUAGCGGCGGACGGGUGAGUAACACGUGGGUAACCUGCCUCAUAGAGUGGAAUAGCCUUCCGAAAGGAAGAUUAAUACCGCAUAAUGUUGAAAGAUGGCAUCAUCAUUCAACCAAAGGGGCAAUCCGCUAUGAGAUGGACCCGCGGCGCAUUAGCUAGUUGGUGGGGUAACGGCCUACCAAGGCGACGAUGCGUAGCCGACCUGAGAGGGUGAUCGGCCACAUUGGGACUGAGACACGGCCCAGACUCCUACGGGAGGCGGCAGUGGGGAAUAUUGCACAAUGGGGGAAACCCUGAUGCAGCAACGCCGCGUGAGUGAUGAAGGUUUUCGGAUCGUAAAGCUCUGUCUUUGGGGAAGAUAAUGACGGUACCCAAGGAGGAAGCCACGGCUAACUACGUGCCAGCCGCCGCGGUAACAC